GGAGUUUAUCUCAUUCCCACAUGUAGAAUCUGAUUCUAACUAAGUGAGAAUCACAAAGUCUGGAACAUAAUGUGAGCACUGUUUGUCUGAACAGAUAGGGGCUACAAGGUCACCCUAAAACUAUCUCUUCUGAUACAUUCAGUUUUCCCAUGCCAGUUGAGAUGCAACUGGGGGAAGGAGGCGAAAUGGCUCCAAGAUGUCUCUUGUGUUUUUUGAUUGUCUUCAUGCGUAUCAGAUUGUCUGUGAGAAAUGUAGAGUCAUAAUAAGCCAAGUGCGUGUGUGCUGUCACUCUGAAGAUGUAUUUAAGCCUGUUGUUCUG